AGGCCGUCCAUGAGGAAAGUCCGGGCUCCACAGGGCAAGGAUAACGGGUAACGCCCGCCGAAGGCGACUUCAGGAAAAGUGCAACAGAGAUAUACCGCCCCGCUGUCCCUUGAGGAAGGCGCCGGGAGGCCGAGUCGAUGACAUUAUUUUUGUCGGCGAUGAAGCGGAACGGGCCGCGGGGUAAGGGUGGAAAGGUGUGGUAAGAGCGCACCCGACGGCGUGGAAGCGUCCGCCGCUGUAAACUCUAUCCGGAGCAACACCGGUAUGGGAGCACAUAGGCUGGCCCGGCCGCUCCCGGGGUGGCUUGAGCGUACCGGCAACGGUGCGUCGAGAUAGAUGACUGUCAGAUACAGAACCCGGCUUACAGUUUCCCUCGCACC
rnacentral:RNase_P_RNA from 1 species